UGCCUCUGAAGAUAGAUUUUGUUCAUACAGGCGUCCAGGAUGGCCCAGCAAAAUGUUGGCAGGGACCAAUCUCAAUCUGAGGACAUGACAAAUUAUAAUUGAUAUAUACAGCUUCAGAAGCGUUGUAUUGGACAGAUCACUCUCCACAUCACGGCUACACUAAUUUGAUCGGCGUCCUUGGACUCGACGGAACGCCGCCAAACCUGUCGACCAUAAGCUUGAAACAAGGGGUGAAAACCAUGUACAGCGCAGCAAGUGCGAACGGUGCAGCGAUCAGCCACCCGAGCAUCUGUGAUCCGCAUUGGCACAUCACAUCCUUUGAGGCCUGGCCAGUGAUAACCUUCUUGAAUGCAUCUGAAGUCAAAGGGAAGUGUCCACUGCCUGUGAUAACUUCUCCGAAACGCAAGAAAGGGACAAUCAAGCUGAACAAAACAUAAUCAGGUGACACCAAGAGCAGCAGAGAAAGCCAGUUGCUUCGGCUCAGCUCCCCU
rnacentral:sRNA from 1 species